rnacentral:tRNA from 1 species
GGUGGCUCAGUGGAAGAGUACUUGCCUUGCAUGCAUGAGGCCCUGGGUUCGAUUCCUCAGCACCA